CGCUUGCGGGUACUCGAGUGGCGAACGGGUGAGUAACACGUGGGUAACCUGCCCCCAUCUCUGGGAUAACCGUUGGAAACGGCGGCUAAUACCGGAUACGACCUUCUUUCGCAUGAUUGAGGGUGGAAAGUUUUUGCGGUUGGGGAGGGGCCCGCGGCCUAUCAGCUUGUUGGUGCGGUGAUGGCGCACCAAGGCUUUGACGGGUAGCCGGCCUGAGAGGGCGGUCGGUCACAUUGGGACUGAGAUACGGCCCAGACUCCUACGGGAGGCAGCAGUGGGGAAUUUUGCACAAUGGGCGGAAGCCUGAUGCAGCGACGCCGCGUGAGGGAUGACGGCUUUCGGGUUGUAAACCUCUUUUAUCCACCACGAAGGCCAGGUAUUCGCCUGGUUGACGGUAGUGGUUGAAUAAGCGCCGGCUAACUACGUGCCAGCAGCCGCGGUAAGACGUAGGGCGCGAGCGUUGUCCGGAUUUAUUGGGCGUAAAGGGCUCGUAGGCGGCCCGCUGCGUCUGCCGUGAAAGGCCUCGGCUUAACCGGGGUUUUGCGGUGGAUACGGGCGGGCUUGAGGCAAGUAGGGGAAACUGGAAUUCCACGUGUAGCGGUGAAAUGCGCAGAUAUGUGGAGGAACACCGGUGGCGAAGGCGGGUUUCUGGGCUUGUUCUGACGCUGAGGAGCGAAAGCGUGGGGAGCGAAC
rnacentral:rRNA from 1 species